rnacentral:rRNA from 1 species
UACGUAGGGAGCAAGCGUUGUCCGGAAUCAUUGGGCGUAAAGCGCGCGUAGGUGGCCCCAUAAGUCCGCUGUGAAAGUCAAAGGCUCAACCUUUGAAAGCCGGUGGAUACUGUGGGACUAGAGUACGGAAGAGGCGAGUGGAAUUCCUGGUGUAGCGGUGGAAUGCGCAGAUAUCAGGAGGAACACCAGUGGCGAAGGCGGUGAUCUGGGCCGAUACUGACGCUGUAGAGCGAAAGCGUGGGGAGCGAACAGG